AGCGAACGCUGGCGGCAGGCUUAACACAUGCAAGUCGAGCGGGCACUUCGGUGUCAGCGGCAGACGGGUGAGUAACACGUGGGAACGUACCCUUUGGUUCGGAAUAACGCUGGGAAACUAGCGCUAAUACCGGAUACGCCCUUUUGGGGAAAGGCUUGCUGCCGAAGGAUCGGCCCGCGUCUGAUUAGCUAGUUGGUGGGGUAAUGGCCUACCAAGGCGACGAUCAGUAGCUGGUCUGAGAGCAUGAUCAGCCACACUGGAACUGAGACACGGCCCAGACUCCUACGGGAGGCAGCAGUGUGGAAUAUUGGACAAUGGGCGCAAGCCUGAUCCAGCCAUGCCGCGUGAGUGAUGAAGGCCUUAGGGUUGUAAAGCUCUUUUGUCCGGGACGAUAAUGACGGUACCGGAAGAAGAAGCCCCGGCUAACUUCGUG
rnacentral:rRNA from 1 species